AAAGGUGGAGAUGGAGACGACGGCGAAGAAAUUGAAGAAAAUUCAUUAACUGACAUCGACAUUUUGUGGUUAAAUCAAGAGUCGGAGUUCGCUGAAUAUAAUUACUAAAACUUUCUAUGUUGUAUGCUUUAUGUUUAUUCAAGCUUUUAUAUAUGCUUAUAUGUGGAAUUGUGAACUUUAUAUAGUUUUUAUUUGCUUACUGUUUAGACUUUAG
rnacentral:lncRNA from 1 species